rnacentral:pre_miRNA from 1 species
GCUUAUGGAUGAGCAAAGAAAGUGGUUUCUCGAGAUAAAAUAUACUUCUGGUGAAGAUGCUGUGAA